UACGGGGGGGGCAAGCGUUGUUCGGAAUUACUGGGCGUAAAGGGCUCGUAGGCGGCCAACUAAGUCAGACGUGAAAUCCCCGGGCUCAACCUGGGAACUGCGUCUGAUACUGGAUGGCUUGAAUCCGGGAGAGGGAUGCAGAAUUCCAGGUGUAGCGGUGAAAUGCGUAGAUAUCUGGAGGAACACCGGUGGCGAAGGCGGCAUCCUGGACCAACACUGACGCUGAGUGAGCGAAAGCCAGGGGAGCAAACGGG
rnacentral:rRNA from 1 species